rnacentral:sRNA from 2 species
AGAUUCGAACCUGCCGCAGGUUCGGGUCGAACGCAGUGAGACAACGGAGCCGUUUACGGCGACGGCCCGAAGGGCGAGCGAAGCGAGUCAUCCUGCACGACCCACCA